UCGUGCAUUUGUGGUACGUCAAAGAUCUUGAUUCUUGAAAAUUAUCAUUUUCCAUUGAAAUGGAAAUGAUGUACAAGAAUGGUGAUCAUAUUCAAGUAUGGGUGAAAGGAAGCUAGCAUUUUAUUAUGGGAGAAACAUGUAAAAUAUCAGGGGCCAAAAGAUCCAAAAGAAGAUGAUAAGGAGAUCAAACAGUAAAGAGAAACUCCC